GAUGAAGAACGCAGCGAAAUGCGAUAAGUAGUGUGAAUUGCAGAAUUCAGUGAAUCAUCGAAUCUUUGAACGCACAUUGCGCCCCUUGAUAUUCCAUGGGGCAUGCCUGUUCGAGCGUCAUUUGUACCUUCAAGCUCUGCUUGGUGUUGGGUGUUUGUCUCGCCUCUGCGUGUAGACUCGCCUCAAAACAAUUGGCAGCCGGCGUAUUGAUUUCGGAGCGCAGUACAUCUCGCGCUUUGCACUCAUAACGACGACGUCCAAAAGUACAUUUUUACACUCUUGACCUCGGAUCAGGUAGGGAUACCCGCUGAACUUAAGCAUAUCAAUAAGCGGAGGA
rnacentral:misc_RNA from 1 species